rnacentral:rRNA from 1 species
CAGUCCUACCGGCGGAUAAUCAGCCUUUCGGGUGCGAUUCUGUGGGGCGUGAGGAGUUUAACCGCCUUCACGUUUUGCAUAUUCGUGCACAUUUGGUGUACUUGUCCGUGUGGUGGGUUAACAUCAAUUUCGGUCGUCAUAAAAUGAUUGGAGGAAUGUAGCUUUGAUCUCGUAUCGAAGUUGUUAUAGACUUCUGGUAAUGUGACGAUUGGGGAUU